rnacentral:rRNA from 1 species
CCCUUAGAUGUUCUGGGCCGCACGCGUGCUACACUGAGUGGAUCAGCGGGUCAGGUUGCGCGAAAGUGUUUCCUAAUCUUGAAAUCCGCUCGUGAUGGGGAUUGACGGUUGCAAUUUUCCGUCAUGAACGAGGAAUACCUUGUAAGCGCGGGUCAUCAUCCCGCGCUGAAUACGUCCCUGCCCUUUGUACACACCGUCCGUCGCUCCUACCGAUUGAGUGGUCCGGUGAGGCUUUGGGAUCUGAGCAAAAAGAGCGUUUCGCUCGUUUGGCUCGGAAAACUCAGUCGAACCUUAUCAUUUAGAGGAAGGAGAAGUCGUAACA